rnacentral:rRNA from 1 species
UACGUAGGGUGCAAGCGUUGCUCGGAAUUACUGGGCGUAAAGCGUGCGCAGGCGGUCUUUUAAGUCAGAUGUGAAAUCCCCGGGCUUAACCUGGGAAUGGCAUUUGGGACUGCAAGGCUGGAGUGCGGCAGAGGAGACUGGAAUUCCUGGUGUAGCAGUGAAAUGCGUAGAUAUCAGGAGGAACACCGAUGGCGAAGGCAGGUCUCUGGGCUGACACUGACGCUCAGGCACGAAAGCGUGGGGAGCAAACAGG